GAUGAACGCUGGCGGCGUGCCUAAUACAUGCAAGUCGAGCGAACAGACGAGGAGCUUGCUCCUCUGACGUUAGCGGCGGACGGGGGAGUAACACGUGGAUCACCUACCUAUAAGACUGGGAUAACUUCGGGAAACCGGAGCUAAUACCGGAUAAUAUAUUGAACCGCAUGGUUCAAUAGUGAAAGACGGUUUUGCUGUCACUUAUAGAUGGAUCCGCGCCGCAUUAGCUAGUUGGUAAGGUAACGGCUUACCAAGGCGACGAUGCGUAGCCGACCUGAGAGGGUGAUCGGCGACACUGGAACUGAGACACGGUCCAGACUCCUACGGGAGGCAGCAGUAGGGAAUCUUCCGCAAUGGGCGAAAGCCUGACGGAGCAACGCCGCGUGAGUGAUGAAGGUCUUCGGAUCGUAAAACUCUGUUAUUAGGGAAGAACAAAUGUGUAAGUAACUAUGCACGUCUUGACGGUACCUAAUCAGAAAGCCACGGCUAACUACGUG
rnacentral:rRNA from 1 species